UGUUUUAUUUAUGUUAUAUGGAUAUUAUAAAAUGUGAAUCUUGUGAGACUCUAACCUCAAUCGCACAACGUACAUCUCGUGCUAUUAGGCGCGCUUUCCGCUAGUGGAUGCUAUAAUGACGAAAGAGAGACGUUGUUUUCUUGCAACUUGACUUUAAUCAGGAUUCUGCCAAUUAUUCUUACAUCAUUCGGACAACUGUUCUUCUUAAAAUUUAAAAGAACGUAAAGAAUAACUGAAGUUUAUAAAAGCUGAAGAAAUUUUCACAAGGAUUAGAACAGCCUGCGACCACAUCAU